rnacentral:rRNA from 1 species
CUUUUUGAGAAUAAUUUAAAGUCUGGCCUGCUCAAUGAUUGAAUUUAUUAAAUGGCCGCGGUAAAUUGACCGUGCAAAGGUNGCAUAAUCAUUAGUUUUUUAAUUAAAAGCUUGUAUGAAGGGUUUGAUGAGAAAAUAACUGUCUCUAAAUUAAUAUAUAGAAUUUUAUUUUUAAGUUAAAAAGCUUAGAUUAUAGUAGAAGACGAGAAGACCCUAUAGAAUUUUAUAUUUUUUGUAAAUAUGAAAUAUAGUAUUUAAAUUUUUAUAUUUUAUUUAAAAUAUUUAGUUGGGGUGAUUGAAAAAUUUAAUAAACUUUUUUUGUAUUAGUUCAUAUAUGUAUGAGUAGUUGAUCCUUAAAUAAAGAUUAUAAGAAUAAAUUACCUUAGGGAUAACAGCGUAAUUUUUUUUAAGAGUUCUUAUCGAAAAGAAAGAUUGCGACCUCGAUGUUGGAUUAAAGUUUAAUUUUGGUGUAGGUGCUAAA